rnacentral:rRNA from 1 species
ACAGCAGCAGCCGCGGGAAUACGUAGGUCCCGAGCGUUGUCCGGAUUUAUUGGGCGUAAAGCGAGCGCAGGCGGUUAGAUAAGUCUGAAGUUAAAGGCUGUGGCUUAACCAUAGUACGCUUUGGAAACUGUUUAACUUGAGUGCAAGAGGGGAGAGUGGAAUUCCAUGUGUAGCGGUGAAAUGCGUAGAUAUAUGGAGGAACACCGGUGGCGAAAGCGGCUCUCUGGCUUGUAACUGACGCUGAGGCUCGAAAGCGUGGGGCGCAAACAGGAUUAGAUACCCGAGUAGUCCCUGUCUCUUAUACA